rnacentral:rRNA from 1 species
AGAGAGUGCAAGCGUUAAUCGGAAUUACUGGGCGUAAAGCGCACGUAGGUGGAUAUUUUAGUCGGAUGUGAAAGCCCCGGGCUUAACCUGGGAACUGCAUUCGAAACUGGAUGUCUAGAGUAUAGUAGAGGAAAGUGGAAUCUCCGGUGUAGCGGUGAAAUGCGUAGAUAUCGGAAGGAACACCAGUGGCGAAAGCGACUUUCUGGACUAAUACUGACACUGAGGUGCGAAAGCGUGGGGAGCAAACAGGAUUAGAGACCCUGGUAGUCCACGCCGUCAACGAUGAGAACUAGAUGUUGGGAGGGUCUACCCUCUUGGUAUCGAAGCUAACGCGUUAAGUUCUCCGCCUGGGGAUACGGCCGCAAGGCUA